rnacentral:misc_RNA from 1 species
UCGUUGAUGGAGGAUCUGUGAUG